GACGAACGCUGGCGGCGUGCUUAACACAUGCAAGUCGAACGGAAAGGCCCUGCUUUUGCGGGGUUCUCGAGUGGCGAACGGGUGAGUAACACGUGAGUAUCCUGCCCUUGACUUUGGGAUAACUUCAGGAAACUGGGGCUAAUACCGGAUAGGAGCUCCUGCUGCAUGGUGGGGGUUGGAAAGUUUCGGCCGUUGGGGAUGGACUCGCGGCUUACCAGCUUGUUGGUGGGGUAGUGGCUUACCAAGGCUUUGACGGGUAGCCGGCCUGAGAGGGUGACCGGCCACAUUGGGCCUGAGGUGCGGCGCAGAGUCCUACGGGAGGCAGCGGUGGGGAAUAUGGCACAAUGGGCGGAAGCCUGAUGCGAAGGCGCCGCGUGCGGGAUGCCGGCCUUCGGGUUGUAAACCGCUUUCGCCUGUGACGAAGAGUGAGUGACGGUAAUGGGUAAAGAAGCACCGGCUAACUACGUG
rnacentral:rRNA from 1 species